CGAUAGCUCAGUUGGUAGAGCAAGUGACUGUUAAUCACUGGGUCGCAGGUUCGAGCCCUGCUC
rnacentral:tRNA from 1 species